UACGUAGGGAGCAAGCGUUGUUCGGAUUUACUGGGCGUAAAGGGCGCGUAGGCGGCAUAUUAAGUCAGCUGUGAAAUCUCCGAGCUUAACUCGGAACGGUCAGCUGAUACUGAUCUGCUAGAGUGCGGAAGGGGCAAUCGGAAUUCUUGGUGUAGCGGUGAAAUGCGUAGAUAUCAAGAGGAACACCUGAGGUGAAGACGGGUUGCUGGGCCGGCACUGACGCUGAGGCGCGAAAGCCAGGGGAGCAAACGGG
rnacentral:rRNA from 1 species